rnacentral:lncRNA from 1 species
AAGCGCCUACCCAAGCUGGUUCUCCGAGCCUCUUGAGUCUCUUUGCACCAGGCCUGCGCUCCUCUACAGAUCCCGCAGAUCACGGGCACGCAUUCGCCACCCACCGAACAUCGGCUUGAGAAAUGAGCUUAACGUUGGAAUAACUUUGAGAGGUUUCAGAGUCAGGAGCCUGUGAAAUAACCCUCAGGAAACACUGGGGACUCAAUAAUUAGUGAGUUAGCAUCAGAGGACAUAUUUACUCUGAACAUGAUAUGUUCAGCUUGGUUUUCUGGAUUCUGGAGGUUGAUGUCAAGAAUGAGAAGAAGAGCCUCUUAAAUCUGGAAGGCCUGGAGAUGGAAAGCAGACUGCAUUAUUUGAAGAGAUUGCAAGCUGCUGGACACACGGGGAAUGAAAAGUGAAAAUGAAGAGGUGGUGAGGCAUGGACAAAAGAUGAAGCAAAUCUACCUAAAACCAGCACUGACCCAGGAAUGAGGAGACCUGGAUUCUAGUCUCACAUCAUGUCCCUCUGAGUUUUAUAAUUCUGGGUAAGUCACUUAACUUCCAUGGCCCUCAGGUUUCUUAUUUUUUGAAACUGUACCAGUUGAGUAGGCUUUUUCCAGGUCUCUCUUUCUGUUUCUUCGACUGUUCUUGCAUGCUAAAAUAUAAACAUAUUUGUUAACUGAUAACAGCUUAAAAGGCAUCUGUCUUCAGGGUCAUUUGUAUUGUAAUAGUAUUCAAAACCUUUCAGAAAAGUUCUAACA